CACCCUGGACAUACUCCCUGGUCAAAGCCUGAUCUCGUCUCAUCUCAGAAGCUAAGCAGCGCUGGGCCUGGUCAGUACUUUGAUGGGAGGCCGCUGGGAAUUCCAAACUUCUGUUGUGU
rnacentral:rRNA from 1 species